AAAGGAUUAUGUCACUGGAAGUAGUACAGUAUGUGAGUGAUGCUGCGUUUUGCAGUGCUGCUACAUACAGCGCUCCUCUCACUGACCACCAAUGAAAGAGGUGCCCCUUCUGGAAUUGUGGUGUGGGCAUGAUACAUGACCUCAGGGGACCUGCAUGUGGCCUGAGGGCCAUAGUUUGGGGACCCCUGGUCUAGGUUGAGCUGUUGACCAAUGGAGUCAUGCUGACUAGACCAAAAGGGUCUCUGCAGUCUAGGAGGGAUGCUUUAUGCACAUUACAUCAUUUUGGGCUGCUGUCAACAUUUCCCCAUCUUCAGGGAGAAGUCAUAGUGAGCAUUACGGAUAAAUAUAUCUAACAGACAAGCUACUAAAUGGUCCAAGGAGUUUGUGAGUAUUUUUAGAUGACUCUUAAAAAACACAGGAUACUUGACUUUCUGAAUUUGUGGUCACUGCUAUGAUCUAAUAGUGGGUCAUCUUAAAAAACGUUCCCAAAUUCGCUUAUAUUUUAAAAUUUACAUUUUUGUAGAAAAUUAUCUAUAGUCUCUAACAAAUCCCAUUCUUAUUCAUUAAACUUUUAGUAACUAAACUAUUCACUACUACUAAACACAGUAACUAUGCUAGGCCCAGCUGAGGUUAUAAAGAUAAGCAUGAAAGGAUGUCUGCCUUCCAGAAACUUACAUUUUUCUGGAGGAAAACAACCUGUAAUAGAAUAUCAGUAUGAAGUAUAUGAAAAGUAAAUAUAAAAUAAUUUCAGGGGGAAAGAAAGACUGAAGGCAGUGCAUUUAUUGGAUAAAGUGAAGGCCUGGUAUCAGAAAGAUCUGAGUAUAUAUCACUUAUAUACUAGAAACAUCAAGAAGUAGAAACCUUCCCACUCUUCAUUUCAGUGUAUUAUUCAGUUUUGGGUAGUAUAUUUAAAGCUCUUUGACUCUGACAAAUCUUUUAACCUCCACCUGCCUCAGUUUCCUCAACUAUAAAAUUGGGGCAGCUAAGUGGCACAGUGGUUAGAGUGCCAGGCCUGGAGUUAGAAAGACUCAUCUUCAUGAAUUCAAAUCUGG
rnacentral:lncRNA from 1 species